rnacentral:rRNA from 1 species
UACGGGGGGGGGCAAGCGUUGUUCGGAAUUACUGGGCGUAAAGGGCUCGUAGGCGGCCAACUAAGUCAGACGUGAAAUCCCUCGGCUUAACCGGGGAACUGCGUCUGAUACUGGAUGGCUUGAGAUUGGGAGAGGGAUGCGGAAUUCCAGGUGUAGCGGUGAAAUGCGUAGAUAUCGGGAGGAACAUCAGUGGCGAAGGCGGCUACCUGGCCCAAUACUGACACUCAGGUGCGACAGCGUGGGGAGCAAACAGG